rnacentral:pre_miRNA from 1 species
UUUCGAAACCGGUUCGGCUUCUUCUUCAGGGGCGACUAUGGAGGAUUGCGGCUCCUUUCCUCCAUAGUCGCCCCUGAAGAAGAAGCCGAACCGGUUUCGAAA